AGUUUGAUCAUGGCUCAGAACGAACGCUGGCGGCAGGCCUAACACAUGCAAGUCGAGCGAACCCUUCGGGGUUAGCGGCGGACGGGUUAGUAACGCGUGGGAAUAUACCCUUUGGUACGGAAUAGCCUCGGGAAACUGAGAGUAAUACCGUAUGUGCCCUUCGGGGGAAAGAUUUAUCGCCAAAGGAUUAGCCCGCGUUGGAUUAGAUAGUUGGUGGGGUAAUGGCCUACCAAGUCUACGAUCCAUAGCUGGUUUGAGAGGAUGAUCAGCAACACUGGGACUGAGACACGGCCCAGACUCCUACGGGAGGCAGCAGUGGGGAAUCUUAGACAAUGGGCGCAAGCCUGAUCUAGCCAUGCCGCGUGGACGAUGAAGGCCUUAGGGUUGUAAAGUCCUUUCAGAUGGGAAGAUAAUGACGGUACCAUCAGAAGAAGCCCCGGCUAACUCCGUG
rnacentral:rRNA from 1 species